rnacentral:hammerhead_ribozyme from 1 species
AUCCGAAUGACGAGUCCCAAAUAAGACGAAAUGCACAUCAAAUUGGAU